rnacentral:rRNA from 1 species
GACGAACGCUGGCGGCGUGCUUAACACAUGCAAGCCGAACGGUAAGGCCCUUCGGGGUACACGAGUGGCGAACGGGUGAGUACCACGUGGGUGAUCUGCCCUGCACUUCGGGAUAAGCCUGUGAAACUGGGUCUAAUACCGGAUAGGACCACUGCCUGCAUGGGUGGUGGGGGAAAGCUUUUGCGGUGUGGGAUGGGCCCGCGGCCUAUCAGCUUGUUGGUGGGGGGAUGGCCUACCAAGGCGACGACGGGUAGCCGGCCUGAGAGGGUGACCGGCCACACUGGGACUGAGAUACGGCCCAGACUCCUACGGGAGGCAGCAGUGGGGAAUAUUGCACAAUGGGCGCAAGCCUGAUGCAGCGACGCCGCGUGAGGGAUGACGGCCUUCGGGUUGUAAACCUCUUUCAGCACCGACGAAGCGCAAGUGACGGUAGGUGCAGAAGAAGGACCGGCCAACUACGUGCCAGCCGCCGCAGUAA